rnacentral:rRNA from 1 species
AUUGAACGCUGGCGGCAGGCCUAACACAUGCAAGUCGAGCGGCAGCGGGACCUUCGGGUUGCCGGCGAGCGGCGGACGGGUGAGUAAUGCCUAGGAAUCUGCCUGUUAGUGGGGGAUAACGCGGGGAAACUCGCGCUAAUACCGCAUACGUCCUACGGGAGAAAGCGGGGGCUCUUCGGACCUCGCGCUAACAGAUGAGCCUAGGUCGGAUUAGCUAGUUGGUGGGGUAAUGGCUCACCAAGGCGACGAUCCGUAACUGGUCUGAGAGGAUGAUCAGGCACACUGGAACUGAGACACGGUCCAGACUCCUCCGGGAGGCAGCAGUGGGGAAUAUGGGACAAGGGGCGAAAGCCUGAUCCAGCCAUGCCGCGUGUGUGAAGAAGGUCUUCGGAUUGUAAAGCACUUUAAGUCGGGAGGAAGGGCUGUAGGCUAAUACCUUGCAGUUUUGACGUUACCGACAGAAUAAGCACCGGCUAACUUCGUGCCAGCCGCCGCCGUAA